rnacentral:rRNA from 1 species
CCCUUAGAUGUUCUGGGCCGCACGCGUGCUACACUGAGUAGAUCAGCGGGUCAGGUUGCGCGAAAGUGUUUCCUAAUCUUGAAAUCCGCUCGUGAUGGGGAUUGACGGUUGCAAUUUUCCGUCAUGAACGAGGAAUACCUUGUAAGCGCGGGUCAUCAUCCCGCGCUGAAUACGUCCCUGCCCUUUGUACACACCGCCCGUCGCUCCUACCGAUUGAGUGGUCCGGUGAGGCUUUGGGAUCUGAGCGGAAAGAGUGUUUCGCUGUUUCUGCUCGGAAAACUCAGUCGAACCUUAUCAUUUAGAGGAAGGAGAAGUCGUAACA